UUUGUUGUUACUGCUGCUUUUUAUCAUCAAUCACAGCUAAGCUCUUACAACCUUGUUUCCUCGUCUCCAUGCUUUCUUUUUACAGCUGUGCUUGCUGCUGACAUUACACAGGUUUUAGUCAUUGACAACAGCAAUGGCAAAGGUGACUUGAACAAGACUAAAGUUGAGUGGCCACUGCAACCCUUAGAGGCAAAGAACUCUCCUGUAAUUAAGAAUUUUAACAGAAGUGAUACACGUGGUCAUGUAGCGCCUCUGUCCCAUGUUACUACCUGUGCCAACAGGCCGUGUUUUCCUGGAGCGUUGUGUUUUGAUCGGAAACCCCCUUACAUUGGAUAUGUCUGCGGCCGAUGUCCACCAGGGUUUUUUGGAAAUGGUCGAAUCUGUAGCAAGGUCCCCAGACCAGGUACUUACUCAUUUUUGGAUUUUUUUUUUUUAAGUUUUGCAGACAAAGGCAGUAAGCAAAUAUGAACUAGUAUGGCAUUACACUACAAUGUGCUUUAUAGUCAAACCCCGAAGCCUUUUUUCUGACUGUGAACACUCUUACCUGACAAGAAGCUAGCAGGUCUUAUUUCAGGAAUCUCUGUCUCUCAGGAAUGAGAUUCACCUUCUCAUUUGCCACUAGGGAGAAGUCUUCACAACGGGACUUGCUAGAUGGUAUGAAUCACCACAUCUGUGUUUCUGCCACAGCACUGGCAUAUGAUUUCAAAACAUGUUUCCUCCUCAGUAAGAUGGGAACAUGACACAUGACAGUAUCACUCUGUUUUCCUUGUUUCCUAAUUCUUUUGCUGCAAGGCAUCUGUUCUCCAAGGUGACCUGUGAAGAUGAUGAUAAACAAAGUGCCAUGUACGAACAACUCUACCAACAACUGAACACAACAGAUAAUUAAAACAUUUCAAUAGUAUCCUUCGUAGACUGAGCAGCAUUCUUCCUUUGGGAGUUCUGAAACUCAGACGGUCCCAUUAAUCUCUGAGGACUGAUCAUUAGAAGAGGUCUUCUGCUGUGAUAAAAGAAAAGCUGGGUCCUGACCUCAGGCAGAAAAUGGCAAUAGCAUAGCAACCUCUCAUCAGUCAUCCAAUCUUGCAUUCUCUCAGCGAAAUUCUCAUAAUUCAAUGCAUAGUUCUCUAGGGACAGUCUGGAUGGUUGUCCCCUUUUCACUGCACAGAGCGAUUUGCCAAGAGAACUGAUGUUUACUCCUUAAUAAAAGUAGUUAUUAGGUCA
rnacentral:lncRNA from 1 species